GGGUGUGCCAAAAUAUUCUGGAAUCAGCAUGACUCAACAUCCACAGUAUGUUACGGUAAGAAAUGAACGUGGAAGAGAGAUGCUCAGUCUGGUUGAUAAUCUUUUGGAGGUUACUUCAACAACUAGCAGUGAAAGGGUCCUGAACCUGCCCCAAAGUUUGUUGGGAAUGUGAUUGCUUUCUUGCUAAACUUGAUUGGCCCAAAGGGUUUGCUUGUUAUUCACUCGAUUACCUUACCAUCAGGAACUACCCGUAUGUAAACCGAAUAUGGGGAAAACAAAGGCGCAACUUUCAAUGUGUUACCUGAUAGUGGAGCUGAACCAUGCAGAGCCGAUCAGCAUAUGCCUUCAUAUGCAAAGAAGAUUGUGGAUACCUACAAUAAGAAUGGUGAAAUCAAUCGGAUUCUUUCCAACAAGUGACUGCAUUAGCUGGUGAAAUGCAGAUCAUAAAGAGGGCACUUCAAUGUAAACCGAAGUUGUCCUUAAUCUUUUCUGUAAAUAUAUAUAGAACCAAUUACGUAUCGAUCAAUUCCUAGGUCUUCUCAGGUUGACAUAUAUGUUUGCUAUGAUCAUAGGUAAUUGAUUCCAAGCCAA